GGAAUGGACCCUGAUGGGUGUAAGUGAUAGCAACUGGAAUGAGAUUGUUGAUAACUUUCAGGAUAUGAAUUUAAAGGAGUCUCUUCUCCAGGGUAUCUAUGCUUAUGGUUUUGAGACGCCUUCAGCUAUUCAGAAGACAGCUCUUAUUCCUUGUAUUAAAGAUACAAAAGGUAUAAUUCUGGAACUUGGAGACUAUAUGGGAGCAACUUGUCAGGCUUGCAUUGGUAGAACAAACAUUUGAAAUGAAAUGCAAAACAAUGCAUGCUGAAGCACCGGAUAUUGCUGUUGGUACACCAGGGAGUGUCUGACAUGUUAAAGAGAAGAUACCUUUCUCCCAAAUGGAUCAAAAUGUUUGUUUUGGAUGAAGCAGAUGAAAUGUUGAGCUGAGGGUGUAAGGAUCAAACCUAUGAAAUUUUCCAAAAAUUAAAUGCAAGUAUUCAGAUUGUGUUGCUUUCUGCCACAAUGCCAACUGAUGUGUUGGAAGUGACCCCAAAAUUCCUGAGAGAUCUAAUUUGAAUUCUGGUGAAAAAGGAGGAAUUGACCUCUGAAGAAAUCCAACAGUUUUAUAUUAAUGUUGAAAGAGAGAAAUGGAAAUUGGACACACUUUGUGACUUGUUAGAGACACUGAGCAUUAUGCAGGCUAUAAUUUUUCUCAAUUCAAGGCACAAGGUGGACUGGCUCACGGAGACAAUGCACACCAGGGGAUUCACAGUUUCUGCUCUGCAUGGUGACACGGACCAGAAGGGAAGAGACGUUCCCGUGAGGGAAUGCUGAUCAGGAUCAAGCUAUGUUCUGAUCACUACUGACUUGCUGGCUUGUGGGACUGAAGCGCAACAAGUAUCUUUUGUUAUAAACUAUUAAUAUGUUGAAAUAUCAUGAUCUAACUACCAACCAUGAAAACUAUAUUCACAGAAUUGGAAGAGGGGGUCAAAUUGGGAGGAAAGGUUUGGCUAUAAACUUGGUUGCUGAAGAAGACAGGAGGAUUCUUUGAGAGACUUUCUACAAUACUACAGUGGAGGAAAUGCUCAUGAAUGUGGCUGACCUUAUUCAAUUCCCGGGAGGAGACAGUUUCAAAAGCAGUGCUCACUGGUGCUGA